GGUAAGACUUUAUAUUUAUUGUGUGUGUGAGUGUGAAUGUGUUUGUUUGUCUAUAAGUGGCCCUACGACAGAGUGGCGUCCUGUCCGGGGGUACCCCGCCUCAUGUUGCAUGACCGCUGGGAUAGGCUCCAGCCCCCUGUGACCCUUAAUUGGACUAAGCAGUU